rnacentral:lncRNA from 1 species
ACAUAGUUUAUUUUAUGAUCAAAGCAUUUCAAAAUUGCCAAUUUUCAAUGGCUACUAUAACGAGUUUGGAGCUUAACGGUGUAGAAGAAUCUAAAUUUCUUCAAAUUUUGAUAGAAAAUACUUUAAACUAUCUAGAUUAAGGUUAACAUUCUUAAUCUUGAAUUUAAAAGUCCUAUACUAAAAUUUUAAAGAUUAUUCAAUUUUCACCGUUCAUUUUGACAUAAUUUAUUUACUAAGUAAACGAUAUCCAAAAAAACUAAAAUUUUAUUCCUAAGAAUUUUAUAUACCCUAAAUCAUAUUUAAGGUGUAGAUCGUUAAUUUGAAUACCCUAAGAUCGAAAACAAGACUAUAGUACCGGAGCUCCGGUACUAUAGAUAGUAUAGUAGCCUAAUUCUAUAUAUAUAUAUAUAUAGAGCUAGGCUGGUAUACUAUCGGUAGCACGGAAGCCUCCGUGCUACCAAGUUGUUUUCAAUUAUGCGGCUUCUAAAUCGAUGAUCGGCUCCAUUAGACUUGAUCUACACUAUAAAAAGUAUUUGGAAACUAAAUUUCACAAUUUUUCGGCAUCAUUUACCUAUCAAACGAGUAGUCUAAAAAUGAACGGCUGAAAAUGAAAAUCUCAUAAAAAACAGUGAUAAAGAAUUCAAAUUUCAAAUCGGAAGUAUUUGUCUUGCUAUUGAUGUUAAGUAGAAUUUUCUAUUAAAUUUUCAUCUAAUUUGAAUACUUCUACACCGUUGAACUUAAAAACGUGCCACAUCGGCCGUUAAAAUAGUCAUUUUUGAGACAUUUUGAUCGCUUGGUAAAUGAUGUCAAAAAAUUAAGUUAAAUUUAGUUUUCAAAUACUUUUAAUAGUGUAGAUCAGGUCUAACGGAGCUGAUCGUCGAUUUGAAAACUGCAUCAUUGAAAAAAAACUUGGUAGCACGGAGGCCUCCGUGCUACCGAUAGUAUACCAGCUUAGCUCUCUCUCUCUCUCUCUCUCUCUCUCUCUCUAUAUAUAUAUAUAUAUAUAUAUAGUCCGGGCUAUGCUAUCGAUAGCACCAAGCACUUGGUGCUAUCAAGUUUUUUGCCGUUAAAUUAAUCUCUUUGAUUAUUUUUACCCGUUAGAUUAUAUUAUUCAACCAACCACCCACUCAACCCUAUGGAGUCCAUAUUAUCCUAAUCUUAUAUUUCUCAAUCCAAUGAUUAAAAAAUUAAUAGCACAAAUACUUUGAAGCUAUUGAUAGUAUAGUAGCCUAAUUAUAUAUAUAUA